CCCAAAAGAGAUCGAAACGGCCGAGAAAGUCCCCGACUUUGUGGACACCUUUUACAACUUAGUCACCGAUAUUUACGAGUGGGGUUGGGGCCAGUCCUUUCACUUCUCCCCGCACGUCCCCGGCAAGUCCCACAAGGACGCCACGCGCCUCCACGAGGAGAUGGCCGUCGAUCUCAUCGACGUGAAACCCGGAGACCGAAUUCUCGACGUCGGAUGCGGCGUAGGUGGGCCUAUGCGUGCCAUCGCGGCCCACUCGCGCGCCAACGUCACCGGGAUCACGAUCAACGAGUACCAGGUUAAACGGGCGCGUCAGCACAAUAAGAAGGCCGGCCUCGAAUCGCUCUGCGAGGUCGUCUGCGGGAACUUCCUCGAGAUGCCGUUCCCGGAGAACAGCUUUGACGGCGCGUACUCAAUCGAGGCGACAUGCCACGCGCCGAAGUUGGAGGAGGUGUACGCUGAGAUCUUCAGGGUUCUGAAGCCGGGGGCUCUGUACGUGUCGUACGAGUGGGUGACGACGGACAAGUACAAGGGUGACGACGCCGAACACAUGGAUGUCAUUCAGGGGAUCGAGAGAGGGGACG
rnacentral:lncRNA from 1 species